rnacentral:rRNA from 1 species
UGCUGUGAGCUCGAUGAGUAGGGCGGGACACGUGGUAUCCUGUCUGAAUAUGGGGGGACCAUCCUCCAAGGCUAAAUACUCCUGACUGACCGAUAGUGAACCAGUACCGUGAGGGAAAGGCGAAAAGAACCCCGGCGAGGGGAGUGAAAAAGAACCUGAAACCGUGUACGUACAAGCAGUGGGAGCCUCUUUAUGGGGUGACUGCGUACCUUUUGUAUAAUGGGUCAGCGACUUAUAUUCUGUAGCAAGGUUAACCGAAUAGGGGAGCCGAAGGGAAACCGAGUCUUAACUGGGCGUUAAGUUGCAGGGUAUAGACCCGAAACCCGGUGAUCUAGCCAUGGGCAGGUUGAAGGUUGGGUAACACUAACUGGAGGACCGAACCGACUAAUGUUGAAAAAUUAGCGGAUGACUUGUGGCUGGGGGUGAAAGGCCAAUCAAACCGGGAGAUAGCUGGUUCUCCCCGAAAGCUAUUUAGGUAGCGCCUCGUGAAUUCAUCUCCGGGGGUAGA